CCUACGGGAGGCAGCAGUGGGGAAUAUUGGACAAUGAGGGCAACCCUGAUCCAGCAAUGCCGCGUGUGUGAUGAAGGCCUUAGGGUUGUAAAGCACUUUCACUGGUGAAGAUGAUGACGGUAGCCAGAGAAGAAGCCCCGGCUAACUUCGUGCCAGCAGCCGCGGUAAUACGAAGGGGGCGAGCGUUGUUCGGAAUUACUGGGCGUAAAGGGCGCGUAGGCGGUCUUUUAAGUUAGGCGUGAAAGCCCCGGGCUCAACCUGGGAACUGCGCUUAAUACUGGAAGACUAGAAAACGGAAGAGGGUAGUGGAAUUCCCAGUGUAGAGGUGAAAUUCGUAGAUAUUGGGAAGAACACCAGUGGCGAAAGCGGCUACCUGGUCCGAUUUUGACGCUGAGGCGCGAAAGCGUGGGGAGCAAACAGGAUUAGAUACCCUGGUAGUCCACGCCGUAAACGAUGUCUGCUAGAUGUCGGGGGGUUGCCCCUCGGUGUCGCCGCUAACGCAUUAAGCAGACCGCCUGGGAAGUACGGUCGCAAGAUUAAAACUCAAAGGAAUUGACGG
rnacentral:rRNA from 1 species